GGCUCUUUCUGUGAGAAAGACUUCAAGUCUUUCCCAAUGUGUGACUUUGGCAACCGUCCGAACACUUCAAUUAAAUCACUGUUUGCUGGUGGGCGUGGCCUCAGCUCACUGACUAUGGCACACCUGCACCCCAUCAAGCACCUGACUCCCAUCCUGCAAUCACCGCUCUCUAUUUAAGACCUGCCCAGCGCUCCAGUCCUCGCCGGAUUGUUGUGUACCUCAGAAGUUUGUCCUGUUUACCCUGGACCACCCGUCUACCCUGCCAGUCAGCACCUGGAUCCAGCUCCAUCCACAAUAGAACCCAAAGCCAGCCUUAAUUCCUCCCCCACUCUCUGUUCAGUACUUUCUGAUUGUUCGGCAAUAAACUUUGUCACUUUCUCAUCAGCUACAUCUGCUUUUGGGUCC